GUGUUGUUUGCAUAAUGCAGCUGAUUACAUACGAAAAUAUAUAUUUUAAUACCAUGGUUUACGAUAGCUAUGACUGAGAUAACGAUAUAUCUAUAUAAUAUUGUACAGGCUACCAUAUAAGAAAUGUAAAUUAAUAAAAAUAACAAAUUACUUUCGAGUCAUAUUUCGCUUUCUCUAUUACCACAAACCCUAUUAGUUUCCUUUUUAUAGGCCAUAUAAGAUCCACCCAGCUUUCUGCCAAGCGGAAAAAUGAUAAUUUCGCAUACUGUAUGUCAUUAAUUAAAUACAAGCGAAGGCGAAACCCGAGACAAAAAAGGAAGAAACCGAUUUAUUAAACAAUAAGAAACUUAGGCAUUACUUAUCUUUCUUCUUUAGAUUACAUCCGGGCCUUUUCACUCGCCGUGUCAUUUUUGCGAUAGUUAAUAAUAAAAUAAGGAAAAAUCUCAAAAAGCUAUAAAUUUCUUGUUAUUAAUGCAGGUCGUUAAAUGUCUGAUAUUGGAUAUUUAUAGCGCCGUUCUAAAAACGGCUUUUAAUGUUCGGCAAAUAAUUUCGCAUUAGUGCCAGGAGAGGACGGUCUUGACCCAGCUUAUCCUGAAUAUUUUUAAAAUAACCGCGAAAGUUUUACAGAUGGCAAGAAUUCAGUAAAAAUCUGCGGUUAAGCGACAUGGAGAACUAAUAUUCAAUUUUUGGGGUCAUCAAAUGGGUAUUUUUGGAUUUAAUCGCGAAUUGCACGAUCCCAACAUAAAUGAAAAUUACGUUAAAAUCGGUUAUAACUAACUGUUCUAUUUUAAAUUUUAUUUUAUAACAUACAAUUUCAUGUAAUCUGAGUUCAGGCUAUUUUAAGCCUGUUCAGCACCAAACACGGAUUAACUUGUAAAUUUAGUUUUUGAAAAGGUUUUAAUCCGAUUUGAGGAUUCUAAAUUUCACAGAUUACUACGUUUUCAUAGGGAUUUUCAUUUAUUCACAUCUCAUGAACACGUUCUCGUACUAAACUGUGGAAUUUUAGGGCUAUCCAGUUGAAAACGUUUAUUAAUCGAACGCUCAUGAAAGCUCACGUUUUCAUAAAAAUAAUCUUGAAAACCAUGAGGUCGGAUUGAAAACAGUUUUAUUUUUUAUGUUUUCGUAAAGAAUGAUUUUCUUUUGAAAACGUUUUCACUUCGAUCUUGAGACAUCAAAUAUUUUACAAUUUUCUACAUUUUCAUAGCCCUAAAAUAGAUUGUCAAAGUCAAAAAAAAAAGUCAAAAUAUACUUUAUUUGCCAAGUUUACAAACUUAUGCUAAAAGCUUCCUAAUCCUAGAAUUUAUAAUACAAUUAUUUAUUUGGUUAUACAGGACAAAAACAGAUUACAGAAUCGAUUUUGAUUGUACAUAGAAGCAUAUUUUAUAUAAACAAAGACAAAACCAAAUUAUUUUAAAUAUUAAAAUGAAUCGUUAAAAUACUCUUCAAUGCUGUAGUAAGCUUUUGGUAAGAUUAAUUUCUUUAGUUCUCUCCUAAACUUUUUAAGGUCUGUAACAGUCCUAAUCGAAAAAGGAACAUGAUUAAAUAUUUUACGACUAAUAAAUAUAAGAGAGUUUCUCGUAAGUGAGGAGGUGGGGAUUGGAAGAGAUAAGUUGCCCACUUGACGAGUAUUAUGACUGGUACAGGAUGGUGGACUUACGGACUUAUCUACAAAAAGAGGUUUACAAGAGACUCUCAGACCAACACCACACAGAUACCUUAAUGCUUUUUUCUGAAUAGUAAAAAUUAUGUAAAGGAGUCCCUUGGAGCACAAACCCCAAAAUGGCAACCCAUAACGGAUAUGAGAGUCUAUUAAGGCGAAAUAAACUGAACGAGCAAACAACCCCCCCAACUCAUGCCUGGAAACCCUGACUGCAAAACAACCAAAAGAAAGUUAUUUUCAAUAAACUUCUGAAUUAAAUGAAUUUUA